UACGGAGGGUGCAAGCGUUGUUCGGAAUUACUGGGCGUAAAGCGCACGUAGGCGGAUUGUUAAGUGAGGGGUGAAAGCCCGGGGCUCAACCCCGGACUGCCUUUGAAACUAGGUUGCUAGAAUCUUGGAGAGGUCAGUGGAAUUCCGAGUGUAGAGGUGAAAUUCGUAGAUAUUCGGAAGAACACCAGUGGCGAAGGCGACUGACUGGACAAGUAUUGACGCUGAGGUGCGAAAGCGUGGGGAGCAAACAGGAUUAGAAACCCUAGUAGU
rnacentral:rRNA from 1 species